rnacentral:lncRNA from 1 species
UGAAGUCCUCCUAAAUUCAUCUCCAUAUGACCGUAAUAGACUAUAUUUCUUACUUGAGUCUCCUUCUACAAUUUGUCUAUCAAGUUUCCUAGCUUUGAAAGCCUUACAACCAGUCAUCUUAGUAGCAAACAUCAACCUUACAUCUGACAUUACUUCACUUAACUUCAUCUUAUUAUUGUUCUUCAACUUGUGUACAUCUUACACUACUUCAU